CCUACGGGAGGCAGCAGUGGGGAAUAUUGCGCAAUGGGCGAAAGCCUGACGCAGCGACGCCGCGUGAGGGAUGAAGGUCUUCGGAUCGUAAACCUCUGUCAGCAGGGAAGAACGGUCACUGUGCUAAUCAGCAGUGCAUUGACGGUACCUGCAAAGGAAGCACCGGCUAACUCCGUGCCAGCAGCCGCGGUAAUACGGAGGGUGCGAGCGUUAAUCGGAAUUACUGGGCGUAAAGCGCUCGUAGGCGGUAUGUCAAGUCAAGGGUGAAAUCCCCGCGCUCAACGUGGGAACUGCCUUUGAAACUGGCAAACUGGAGUGUGGUAGAGGAUAGUGGAAUUCCAGGUGUAGGAGUGAAAUCCGUAGAGAUCUGGAGGAACAUCAGUGGCGAAGGCGACUAUCUGGCACAUAACUGACGCUGAGGAGCGAAAGCGUGGGUAGCAAACAGGAUUAGAUACCCCUGUAGUC
rnacentral:rRNA from 1 species